rnacentral:misc_RNA from 1 species
AUCCCCUCACCAGCUUUCUCUCUCUCUAAAACUCCAAAACUCCACUACAGGAGACUCACAAAUUCGAUCCUCAACAAUCGGUUCUCUCUUCGUCAUGAGCUCCGCCGGAUCGAUCUCCACCAUCUGCAUCACCGGCAGGUAUCCAAGAUCUUCCAUCAGUAGUACUGAUAGUAUCAAUUUCAGCUUGAGAGGCUUCAAUUCAUGGCGCGGGAGACCGACAUUGACGCGGAGAGUCACCGGCCCCUUGCAGGUUGUUUGCAAGGAUUGUCCGAGGCCGGAGCUCGAUAAUACGGUGAAUUUUCUUGAAGCGGCUAAGUUGUCGGCUGAGUUUCGGAGUCGUGCAAGGCCGGAGAAACCGCUG